GUAAAUAUAGUUUAAAUCAAAACGUUAGAUUGUGAUUCUACAGAUAGAGGUUAAACUCCUCUUAUUCACC
rnacentral:tRNA from 1 species